rfam:Papilio xuthus contig9588, whole genome shotgun sequence.
GACUCGUUAGCUCAGUAGGUAAGAGCGCCGAUAUAUAUUCUAAUUUGACCAUCGGAGGGCGGAGGUUCAAAUCCUUCACGAGUCA